GCAAGCGGAGGCUCCACCCUUACUGAGUGGGUUCCUGCCGCACUCGCGCAGGCGUCGCGCGUCCAGGCGGGAGGUCGGUGUGUCCUGGGCUUCUGCUCCCCGGCGGCUGUGGCGGCCCCGAGCCAUGGCUCUCACCGUCCGAGUCGUUUAUUGUGGCGCUUGAGGCUACAAGUCCAAGUAUCUUCAGCUCAAGAAGAAGUUAGAAGAUGAGUUCCCUGGCUGCUUGGACAUCUCGGGCGAGGGAACUCCCCAGGCCACCGGGUUCUUCGAAGUAACGGUAGCUGGGAAGUUGAUUCACUCUAAGAAGAAAGGCGAUGGCUACGUGGACACGGAAAGCAAGUUUCUGAAGCUGGUGGCGGCCAUCAAAGCCGCCUUGGCUCAGGGCUAAUGUGCCCUGAAGGCAGAGGUGAGAGGGAGGGGCCCACUAGACAGGGAACCACCCUUUGGAUCUUCUCCCAGCCCCAUC